rnacentral:tRNA from 1 species
AAGAAUUUAGUUAACAAAUAUAACAUUAACUUGUCAAGUUAAAAUAAUUAAUAAAAUUAAUAAUUCUUG